CAAUAGCGUAUAUUAAAGUUGUUGCGGUUAAAAAGCUCGUAGUUGGAUUUCUGCUGAGAACGACCGGUCCGCCCUCUGGGUGUGUAUCUGGCUCUGUCUUGGCAUCUUCUUGGUGAACGUUGCUGCACUUGACUGUGUGGAGCGCUACCCAGGACUUUUACUUUGAGGAAAUUAGAGUGUUUCAAGCAGGCAUACGCCUUGAAUACAUUAGCAUGGAAUAAUAAGAUAGGACCUCGGUUCUAUUUUGUUGGUUUCUAGAGCUGAGGUAAUGAUUAAUAGGGAUAGUUGGGGGCAUUCGUAUUUAACUGUCAGAGGUGAAAUUCUUGGAUUCGCUAAAGACGGACUUAUGCGAAAGCAUUCACCAAGGAUGUCUUCUUUAA
rnacentral:rRNA from 1 species